rnacentral:rRNA from 1 species
AGUGAACGCUGGCGGUAGGCCUAACACAUGCAAGUCGAACGGCAGCACAGUAAGAGCUUGCUCUUACGGGUGGCGAGUGGCGGACGGGUGAGGAAUACAUCGGAAUCUACUUUUUCGUGGGGGAUAACGUAGGGAAACUUACGCUAAUACCGCAUACGACCUACGGGUGAAGGCAGUGGAUCUUCGGACCUUGCGCGAUUGAAUUAGCCGAUGUCGGAUUAGCUAGUUGGCGGGGUAAAGGCCCACCAAGGCGACGAUCCGUAGCUGGUCUGAGAGGAUGAUCAGCCACACUGGAACUGAGACACGGUCCAGACUCCUACGGGAGGCAGCAGUGGGGAAUAUUGGACAAUGGGCGCAAGCCUGAUCCAGCCAUACCGCGUGGGUGAAGAAGGCCUUCGGGUUGUAAAGCCCUUUUGUUGGGAAAGAAAAGCAGCAGGUUAAUACCCCGCUGUUCUGACGGUACCCAAAGAAUAAGCACCGGCUAACUUCGUG